rnacentral:rRNA from 1 species
CACGUAGGGGGCAAGCGUUGUCCGGAUUUAUUGGGCGUAAAGAGCUCGUAGGUGGUUCGAUAAGUCGGGUGUGAAACCUCCAGGCUCAACCUGGAGACGCCACCCGAUACUGUCGUGACUAGAGUCCAGUAGGGGAGCGUGGAAUUCCUGGUGUAGCGGUGAAAUGCGCAGAUAUCAGGAGGAACACCAGCGGCGAAGGCGGCGCUCUGGGCUGGCACUGACACUGAGGAGCGAAAGCGUGGGGAGCGAA